AGCCUCCUUUCCAGACCACAGUUGUGCAAGACGAAGAUAGUGAUGAUUCUGAUGAUCGUGAUGAUCCUAAUCCUGAUGGUUAUCAUAGGUUUUGAUAUUUAGGAACUUUAGAAAAAAAAUUUAGUUAGGUUUUCUUUUUUAAGAACUUUGACACUUAUCAAACUUUGAAGUUAGUAUUUUAGUAUCAAACUUUGUUUUGCAUUUUAAACUUAGAAGUUUGGGAUUGCAUUUUAAACUUUGUUUUGACACUUAUCAUCUUUGGAAACUUAGAAUGAUUGAAGUUUUCUUGAUGAAUGUUGAAUGAUUACAUUUGAAUUGAUGUUUGGAAUUGAUGUUGUCUGGAUAAAUUGAUGUUUGGG
rnacentral:lncRNA from 1 species